GACGAACGCUGGCGGCGUGCUUAACACAUGCAAGUCGAACGGAAAGGCCCUGCUUUUGUGGGGUGCUCGAGUGGCGAACGGGUGAGUAACACGUGAGUAACCUGCCCUUGACUUUGGGAUAACUUCAGGAAACUGGGGCUAAUACCGGAUAGGAGCUCCUGCUGCAUGGUGGGGGUUGGAAAGUUUCGGCGGUUGGGGAUGGACUCGCGGCUUAUCAGCUUGUUGGUGGGGUAGUGGCUUACCAAGGCUUUGACGGGUAGCCGGCCUGAGAGGGUGACCGGCCACAUGAGGACUGAGAUACGGACCAGACUCCUACGGGAGGCAGCAGUGGGGAAUAUUGCACAAUGGGCGGAAGCCUGAUGCAGCAACGCCGCGUGCGGGAUGACGGCCUUCGGGUUGUGAACCGAUUUCGCCUGUGACGAAGCGUGAGUGACGGUAAUGGGUAAAGAAGCACCGGCUAACUACGUG
rnacentral:rRNA from 1 species